rnacentral:tRNA from 1 species
CUUCCUACGGUUCCUUUCAUCACCGUGAUGGUGUUAAGAAGCAAGAUAUCCGCUC